rnacentral:rRNA from 1 species
UCGGCGCUCGGGGGACGGGUCAGGGGCACGUGGAUAAUCUACCCUAAGGUGGAGGAUACCUCGGGAAACUGAGAAUAAUACUCCAUAAGUCUAGGAUACUGGAAUGUACUUAGGCUGAAAACUUCGGUGCCCUAGGAUGAGUCUGCGUACUAUCAGGUUGUAGUCAGGGUAAACACCUGACUAGGGUAGACUUUAUACGGGUUGUGAGAGCAAUAACCCGGAGAUGAGGUCUGAGACACGAUAUCAGGCCCUACGGGGCGCAGCAGGCGCGAAAACUUCACACUGCGCGAAAGCGCGAUGAGGGAAUCCCAAGUGCUUGCACGUAAGUGUAAGCUGUUUCUAUGUCUAAAACGCAUAGAGAGUAAGAGUUGGGUAAGACGGGUGCCAGCCGCCGCGGUAA